rnacentral:rRNA from 1 species
GACGAACGCUGGCGGCGUGCUUAACACAUGCAAGUUGAACGGGGCAUAUUUGAAGGGUAACCGGAGGGUAUGUCUAGUGGCGAACGGGUGAGUAAUGCAUGAGAACGUAUCCUCAAGAGGGGGACAACAUUGGGAAACCGAUGCUAAUACCCCAUAAGCCGGGAGGUAAAAGGAGCAAUCCGCUUGAGGAGCGGUUCAUGUCCUAUCAGCUAGUUGGUGAGGUAACGGCUCACCAAGGCGAAGACGGGUAGCCGGCCUGAGAGGGUGAACGGCCACACUGGAACUGAGAGACGGUCCAGACUCCUACGGGAGGCAGCAGUGGGGAAUAUUGGGCAAUGGGGGAAACCCUGACCCAGCGACGCCGCGUGAGGGAAGAAGGCCUUAGGGUCGUAAACCUCUGUUGUGUGGGAAGAAGAGCGUGACGGUACCACACGAGGAAGUCCCGGCUAACUACGUGCCAGCAGCCGCCGUAA